rnacentral:rRNA from 1 species
UUUUGGACAAUGGGGGAAACCCUGAUCCAGCCAUGCCGCGUGUGUGAAGAAGGCCUUCGGGUUGUAAAGCACUUUCGGACGGAACGAAAUUGCGCGGGCGAAUAUCCCGCGUAGAUGACGGUACCGUAAGAAGAAGCACCGGCUAACUACGUGCCAGCAGCCGCGGUAAUACGUAGGGUGCAAGCGUUAACCGGAAUUACUGGGCGUAAAGCGUGCGCAGGCGGCGUCGCAAGUCAGGCGUGAAAUCCCCGAGCUUAACUUGGGAAUUGCGCUUGAAACUACGAUGCUAGAGUGUGGCAGAGGGAGGUGGAAUUCCACGUGUAGCGGUGAAAUGCGUAGAUAUGUGGAGGAACACCGAUGGCGAAGGCAGCCUCCUGGGCCAACACUGACGCUCAUGCACGAAAGCGUGGGGAGCAAACAG